rnacentral:lncRNA from 1 species
AACUAUAUAGUUGUUGAUGUGAUAACUCAGUAAAAGCUCUUUUCCCCCUUCUCUGAUGUGUACAUACUUUUGGGAUCUAACUAAUUUUAAUUUGUCCCUUAAUUCUCACUUUGGUGUAAAAUUAUCUAAGAUUAAUUUGGAUUUGUGCUUUAGUAUGUAACUUUGGGAUAAAAUUGUCUCAUCCAAGGCUCGAAGGUUAGUAUUAUGAAUUUUAUCACAUGGAU